GAAUUGAGUGGCAAACGGGUGAGUAACACGUAAACAACCUGCCUUCAGGAUGGGGACAACAGACGGAAACGACUGCUAAUACCGAAUAAGUUCCAAGAGCCGCAUGGCCCAUGGAAGAAAAGGUGGCCUCUACCUGUAAGCUAUCGCCUGAAGAGGGGUUUGCGUCUGAUUAGCUGGUUGGAGGGGUAACGGCCCACCAAGGCGACGAUCAGUAGCCGGUCUGAGAGGAUGAACGGCCACACUGGAACUGAGACACGGUCCAGACUCCUACGGGAGGCAGCAGUGGGGAAUCUUCCGCAAUGGGCGAAAGCCUGACGGAGCAACGCCGCGUGAGUGAUGACGGCCUUCGGGUUGUAAAACUCUGUGAUCCGGGACGAAAAGGCAGAGUGCGAAGAACAAACUGCAUUGACGGUACCGGAAAAGCAAGCCACGGCUAACUACGUGCCAGCAGCCGCGGUAAUACGUAGGUGGCAAGCGUUGUCCGGAAUUAUUGGGCGUAAAGCGCGCGCAGGCGGCUUCCCAAGUCCCUCUUAAAAGUGCGGGGCUUAACCCCGUGAUGGGAAGGAAACUGGGAAGCUGGAGUAUCGGAGAGGAAAGUGGAAUUCCUAGUGUAGCGGUGAAAUGCGUAGAGAUUAGGAAGAACA
rnacentral:rRNA from 1 species